rnacentral:rRNA from 1 species
AUGUUCAUCAAUAUUCCAAGCAAACUCACAAGGAUAUUUUUUGUGAUAUGCAUUUGAUCAAGGCUAUGAGGCGUGUCGAGUAUGGGCCAGUAUUCCAAGUCCCAGAAACCAGAUCUCGUCUUCCAUAUCUUCAGCAGGGGCUCCAGCGCCUUUUUCUUCGUCUUUCCCGGCGAGGGGCACUCUUCCCAGUUCUUCAAUAACUCAUAUAUUUCUGCACCGCUAUGCUU